rnacentral:rRNA from 1 species
UACGUAGGGGGCUAGCGUUGUCCGGAAUCAUUGGGCGUAAAGAGCGUGUAGGCGGUUCGGUAAGUCCGCUGUGAAAGUCGGGGGCUCAACCCUCGAAUGCCGGUGGAUACUGUCGGGCUAGAGUACGGAAGAGGCGAGUGGAAUUCCUGGUGUAGCGGUGAAAUGCGCAGAUAUCAGGAAGAACACCCGUGGCGAAAGCGGCUCUCUGGAACGGUACUGACGCUGAGACGCGAAAGCGUGGGGAGCGAACAGG